rnacentral:lncRNA from 1 species
UUUAUCAGCCAUGGCUGCAUCCUGUGGACUCCUGGAGUUUGUAGUUUGACGAGGCACUUGAGCUCCCUUCCCUAAACAGCCAACCUCAGCAAUUCUCGACCUUCUGCAUUUUCCCCUCGACUGCAAAGAGAUACUACUUCUGGUCAAAGGAUUUGUUGGUGUUGGACUAACCUGUUUGGUCUCAAAGUCAGAAUAUUGCCCAUCUCAGAGAAAUGAUCCCCUUCUCCUGC